AGAGUUUGAUCCUGGCUCAGGAUGAACGCUGGCGGCAUGCCUAAUACAUGCAAGUCGAACGAGGAUCCUUCGGGAUCCUAGUGGCGAACGGGCGAGUAACACGUAGGGAACCUGCCCGCGCACCGGGAAUACGCUCUGGAAACGGAGAACAAAUCCCGAUGUACAGGAAGGAGGCAUCUUCUUUCUGUGAAACAUCCUGUUAAAGGGAUGGGGCGCGGAUGGACCUGCGGUGCAUUAGUUAGUUGGCGAGGGUAAAGGCCCACCAAGACGAUGAUGCAUAGCCGGCCUGAGAGGGCGGACGGCCACAUUGGGACUGAGACACGGCCCAGACUCCUGCGGGAGGCAGCAGUAGGGAAUUUUCGUCAAUGGGCGCAAGCCUGAACGAGCGAUGCCGCGUGAGUGAAGAAGGCCUUCGGGUCGUAAAGCUCUGUUGCGGGGGAAAAAAGGCAUCUGCAGGAAAUGGUAGAUGACAGAUGGUGCCCCGCCAGAAAGUCACGGCUAACUACGUGCCAGCAGCCCGCGGUAAUACGUAGGUGGCGAGCGUUUAUCCGGAAUGAUUG
rnacentral:rRNA from 1 species